CCUACGGGAGGCAGCAGUGGGGAAUAUUGGACAAUGGGCGAAAGCCUGAUCCAGCAAUGCCGCGUGAGUGAUGAAGGCCUUAGGGUUGUAAAGCUCUUUUACCAGGGAUGCAGUACCUGGAGAAUAAGCUCCGGCUAACUCCGUGCCAGCAGCCGCGGUAAUACGGAGGGAGCUAGCGUUGUUCGGAAUUACUGGGCGUAAAGCGCACGUAGGCGGUAUAUCAAGUCAGGGGUGAAAGCCCGGAGCUCAACUCCGGAACUGCCUUUGAAACUAGUAUGCUAGAAUCUUGGAGAGGCGGGUGGAAUUCCGAGUGUAGAGGUGAAAUUCGUAGAUAUUCGGAAGAACACCAGUGGCGAAGGCGGCCCGCUGGACAGAUUGACGCUGAGGUGCGAAAGCGUGGGGAGCAAACAGGAUUAGAUACCCUUGUAGUC
rnacentral:rRNA from 1 species